rnacentral:misc_RNA from 1 species
GAUGAAGAACGUAGCGAAAUGCGAUAAGUAGUGUGAAUUGCAGAAUUCAGUGAAUCAUCGAAUCUUUGAACGCACAUUGCGGCCAUAGGUAUUCCUUUGGCCAUGCCUGUUCGAGCGUCAUUUACACCCUCAAGCCUAGCUUGGUGUUGGGCGUCUGUCCCGCCGUUCUCGCGCGCGGACUCGCCUCAAAGUCAUUGGCGGCGGUCGUGCCGGCCCCCUCGCGCAGCACAUUUGCGCUUCUCGGAGGCCCGGCGGAUCCGCGCUCCAGCAAGACCUUUCACGACUUGACCUCAGAUCAGGUAGGGAUACCCGCUGAACUUAAGCAUAUCAAUAAGCGGAGGA